rnacentral:rRNA from 1 species
UACGGAGGGUGCAAGCGUUAUCCGGAUUUAUUGGGUUUAAAGGGUGCGCAGGCGGAAUUUUAAGUCAGUGGUGAAAGCCCGAGGCUCAACCUCGGAACUGCCAUUGAUACUGAAAUUCUUGAGUGUGGUUGAUGUGGGCGGAAUGUGCCAUGUAGCGGUGAAAUGCUUAGAUAUGGCACAGAACACCGAUCGUGAAGACAGCUCACAAAACCAUUACUGACGCUCAGGCACGAAAGCGUGGGGAUCAAACAGG